UUCAACACUCCCUGCUAGGGAUGCUCCCUCCAUGUACAUGACGUGCGGGUUGCAAAUACUUUUGUCUCGGUGAGGAAAAGCAGGCUGGAGAAAACGUGUGGCCCCACGUGGUCAAGAACCUAGUUUUUCUGGGACUGAGAAUAUUCCUUUCACCUGUGUGAGAAGUUUUCAUCUGAGACAAAUGAAAAAUAUUCCAUCCCCUUCCCACUCCCCAUUUUACCAACUCUGUCAAGAACAAGAGGAAUGAGACUUGGAGAGAAACUGUCCCAAAAAGGGACAAGAACUGAAGGUGUGACUCUAGCUGAGGUCACCACAAGCAGCAACAGCUGUCCAGGCUGAGCAAAUUCCACCUGAGCGAAACUACACAAGAAAAUGCAUGCACCAAAUGAUAACAGCAAACAGCCAUUGUAAG